UCUAUACCUUUAGCGUUCGGAAAUGAGGACUUGUCUUCACAUGGUGCGGAAUAUCGGGCAGCAUUUGUGAUUCACCUGUCCUCCAAAUCAGUUUUGAGAGCGCAAAGGGACCCAGAGGAGCAGUAGAAGCCAAACUUUGAUGAAGAGGUGAAGGUGGGGUAAGGAGCAGGGGAAGAAAUGAUCGCCCCUCACAUCUCUCAGAAGGCUGAAGGCUAAGCAUCUGAUCUAAUGAUGACAACUGCCAGCCAGCCAGCCAGCCAAACGGUUCAUUUUGCGCAGGCCCGGACGGAAGGACUAUCUGAUCGUACGUGUCCUUGAAUAAACCCUAAGCGAACAUGCAGAAUUCCAGGACGAUAGCUCAAUAUCAGCCAGUCCCGCUGUUGAACACAGGUCUCCGUGAAAAAAAAAAAACUAUUUAAACACUGCUUGUCCUACUGUUGGAAACAACUUAAGAAUGUCUGCUGACGCAACCGCCAAAGCACGCACCGUGGAAAUAAAUCAGAUUUCUAUCCCGUG